CAGUGAGACAAAUUUUGUCUUUUCUGGCUACCUGAUUUCCUGGAUUACUUUGUUGGAAUGGAUCCUAAGAACACAGUUCAUUGCCAUGAUUCAGAGUGUUACCGUGAGAAAAUAUCUUGAACUUCUACUCUGUAUCUCAUCAGAUGAAGGAUAAAUAAACGUGUCUCUCAAAGCCAUCUUUAUUCGAAGAAGUUUCCUUCGCACUACAAAUCUAAAGUUCUUUCUACGAACAUCUUGUAUGAAUUGAUACCUGAUUAAGCGCAUCUAACUACGUAUUUGUAUAUGUGUCUCAUUGCCUCAUAAAAAUCCAGAAGUCUUUAAAUGUGAUUCAAAACCAACAAAAAAUCAAAUAAACAUUUAAAUAAAUUAGUGAGAAAAUGUGAUGUAGCAAGUAAUAAAGAGUAAAAUGUGAACUGCCUAUCUAAAACAGGAUAAAACUGAAAAUGUAUUUAAGAAAAUAAUAUUUUAACAGCUUUUAAGGGAUAGAAAUUUUCUGCUAACUAGAGAUACUUAUAAAUUUAUUUAUUUGUACUCCUAUGAUCCAUAAAACUGAAAUCUGCAUUCCUUAAGCUAAAAAGAGACAAUAGGGCAUUAAAAUGCUAUGACUGUGCACUUUUGAUGUCUUAUGACUUCAUUAGAACAUACUAAUUCUAACAGGUCAUUAAUUUAUAUUUAUUUCUCUUAUUUAUACAUCAUUGAUUUCACUUGUCAAGAUCAAAUUCAUUGAUAAAAAUCUUUGCAGAAUGGCUGGGAACUUCCUAAGAAAUAAAACCUGAAGUUCAUCCUAUAGUUCUAACACAAUGCAUAUAAAGGAGAGACUGUACCUAAAUGUUUAAAUAUCUUAUCCCAGGAACAAAAUAUCAGGAAGCAGUUUUUCUUGAUCUACUGAAACAACAGACCAACUAUAUUAUCCUUUUUUACAGAGAGACCACAUUUUAUUCUGCCCAAAUAUCUACGGAACAGUCCACAGGAACAAUAACCUCAGUUGGGAUUUAUGAUUUCUUUUCUUUUUUGUUUUCUUUUUUUGAGACAGGGUCUCCCUCUGUUGCCCAGGCUAGUGUGCAGUGGUGUGAUCUUGGCUAACUGCUGCCUCUGCCUCCUGGGUUCAAGUGAUUCUCCUGCCUCAGCCUCCCGAGUAGCUGGGAUUACAGGCACACGUCACCAGCCUGACUAAUUUUUGUAGAGACUAGGGGGUUUUGCCAUGUUGCCUAGGUGGUCUCAAACUCCUGGACUCAAGUGAUCUGCCUGUCUCAGCCUCCCAAAGUUCUGGGAUUACAGGUAUGAGCCACCAUGCCGAGCCAGGAUGAUCUAUUUUCUUAUUACAUUUAUUUUCUGACUUUUUUCAUGGUACAAUAUAAACUUUCAAUUCCACUAAAUGAAUAAUAACCUCCCAACUAUUUUUAGGAAAAACAAUUUGCUGAAAAUAUUAAGCAAAAGUGAUUUUCAUUGGAUAAUUGUUUUUCUGUGUGUUUAGUAAUCUUCAGUGUUGUUAUUUCAUUGAGUAUUUAAAAGACACUAGGAAAAUCAAUUGAUGAUGUGGCUUAUUCAGGAAGAAAAAUCAUAGCAUGUUCCUAAAGCCUGUAUUAUGAGUUAAUUUAUACGCUACAGUAAAAUGUUGUAACUGACAGUAUUUACAACUGUUAGUAGUAGAAUCUAAGGAGACAGAAGGCAACAACUAGCCAGUCUUCCCUGUGAAGUCAAAAUUCCAUUCUCUUCCCUGGGGAAGAGGCAGAGUCAAAUAAUGGAGGUGCUCAAUUUCUUACUCUCUGGGGUUACUUAAUUUCUCAGCCUCGCAGCCAACAGAGUGCAAUCAAGUCUCUACAAGAACAACUGAUGCGGCUGAGCGCGGUGGCUCACACCUGUAAUCCCAGCAGUUUGGGAGGCCGAGGCAGGUGGAUCAUGAGGUCAGGAGAUCAAGGCCAUCCUGGCUAACAUGGUGAAACCCCAUCUCUACUAAAAAUACAAAAAAAUUAGCUGGGUGUGGUGGCGGGUCCCACACCGAGUAGCCUG
rnacentral:lncRNA from 10 species